CGCUGUUUUGAGGUGUGCGUGCGGAACACAGAGCGGUUUUCGGUGCCGAGGCUGGCUGUAGCUCCGGGGAUGGGUUUUUUUCCGAUUAAAUUUCGGGUUUUAUUUUCGGCUAAAUAGCGUGUUUGGCUGCUAAAAAAAAAAAAAAAAAAAAAAAAUUGGAAAAAAGAAGAUGUGAUUGCAGACGUGCAAAGAUGAGCACGUGUUCGCAUUUGUGUGUUAAUGUGCUGUCUAGAUUGUAGUAUGUAAAUCUAAUAGGUGUUAGGCACACAGGAACACAUGGAAUACACCCCAUGUGCACAGCACAGAUGUUGGAAUCCAGCUUUAACUCAAAGGCCUGAAGUAAGCAAGGUCUGGUAUUUGGACGGAAGACAAAUUUCUCAUAUGGACCAGAUUGCUGCAAGAAAUACAGCAAGAAAUGUUGAUCCUUGA
rnacentral:lncRNA from 1 species